rnacentral:sRNA from 1 species
GGAGUAAUUCCAAACUGAAAUGUCAACCUGUGGACUGUGGCAUUCCUGAAUCCAUUGAGAAUGGUAAAGUUGAAGACCCAGAGAGCACUUUGUUUGGUUCUGUCAUCCACUACACCUGUGAGGAGCCAUAUUACUACAUGGAAAAUGGAGGAGGUGGGGAGUAUCACUGUGCUGGUAACGGGAGCUGGGUGAAUGAGGUGCUGGGCCCAGAGCUGCCGAAAUGUGUUCCAGGACUGAACAGUGACCUGCCAGAGUCCAGCUCAGUGAGGUGGCAUUAUCACUGUGCCAUGGGCUGCCAGGGCCGUGGGGAACCUCCUCAGCUACACUGAAGCCAGGCCAACUGGAAGGAAAUAGAAACGUCAGCCAGCGACAGUUGGUGUCUGGUAAUGUAGCUGCAGUGAGAAGAUACAGAACUGCUAAAAACAGGGCCUGAAAGCUGAGAGUUCUGUGGAGUCCCCAGAGAACCCUUUGAAGAAAAACAGAGGAUAAUUGGAGGAUCCGAUGCAGAUAUUAAAAACUUCCCCUGGCAAGUCUUCUUUGACAACCCAUGGGCUGGUGGAGCGCUCAUUGAUGAGUACUGGGUGCUGACGGCUGCUCAUGUUGUGGAGGGAAACAGGGAGCCAACAAUGUACGUUGGGUCCACCUCAGUGCAGACCUCACGGCUGGCAAAAUCCAAGAUGCUCACUCCUGAGCAUGUGUUUAUUCAUCCGGGAUGGAAGCUGCUGGAAGUCCCAGAAGGACGAACAAAUUUUGAUAAUGACAUUGCACUGGUGCGGCUGAAAGACCCAGUGAAAAUGGGACCCACCGUCUCUCCCAUCUGCCUGCCAGGC